CAGCUUCAGCAGUGGAAGAUCUAGAAGACAAAAGUAGGAUAAAGAAAAAAGUCACUAAUAAAUUUAAAAACACAGAUAAAGUAAAACACCAAUGUAGCGCCUAAUUCACGCAUGGCACUGUGGCCGCUAGGUGUGAACCAGGUGUUAGCAUUUAGCCCGGACCUUCACCGGAUGGCAGACCAUGAUAGGCGGACCCCUACUAAAAAGUAAACAAGAGUAGAGAAGUGACAUAUCGUUGGAAUAAGCCAGAAAAUAACAAAAUCCACUAGAACACAACUGUACAAUGAAAGCAGCUAGAGCUUCAUCUUAAAAGCUUCUCCCCCCUGCAGGAGCUUCAGUUCACUUCAAGAACAAAAGGAACAAAGUGACGUCCAUAGACUUUUGUGGCUGUAUUGAUGAAGGCAAAUGCAUUGUGUUCCAAAAUCUUUAAAAGCUAGUGCUCUGCAAAGUAUCUGUGAAGAGAAAGUCUGAUCCUAACCUAAUCUUAUUCUACAGUCCCGUUUUCUUGUCCUCGUAGCCAA